CAUUUCUGAGACUCAUUAUUGUAAACAGGUCAUGAGGUAAAAGACAUUUGCAGAUAGCCUCGGGUGAGGCCUUAACUCGUCUGCAACAUGUGCCGGAAACGGCCCAGGAUGCACUCGCUGUAUUACAUGACUGCUGACUAUACAGUGAUUUUACAGAUUCCAGGAGCUGCUUAGUACAGAAAAAAACCACUAUUACCAACCCAUGACACACUCAAUCACACUUAUAAUCAGUAGAGAUACAACAGAAAUGAUUGCGGGGGAAGGAUUACGAAACGUCUGGAUUCAAACACAAAAUGCCCACAUACAGAGCACCUCAACAUGCCAGCGCAUGUGUGCGCCAAAUCAGACAAAUACACACACUGCAGCUAAAAU